GAGACUUCUAUGCGGUAUGGAGGGACGAUUUUGGUGACAUCUGAGACGCAGCCGCACUUCAACAAGCGUCCGGGCUCCAGGGACAUGGCGGCGGCCUCUGUGGUGUCGGUGCUGCUGGUGGCGACUGAGAGGAACCAGUGGCAGUCAGUCCAGAGCCCGCUGCUGCUGCUGCUGCUGCCGCUGCCGAGGAAACGAUCCAAAAGGUAGUUCUGGCACUUGGAUACUACUACGUUGGAGCAACUUGUCAUGCCUGCAUUGUGUGGAACCAGUGUUCAGAAUAACAUGUAAAAACUUCAGGCUGGUGGAGGAGGGAGCACACAAUGUCCUGGUACUCCAGGGAGACCAUUUGAUAUGUUAAAUAGAAUAUAUCAUUUCUCUGGAAGGAAGUCUCUAUGCACAACCCACUCUUAAGUAAGACUUUUUUUUUCGCUUUCCAAAAUGGAUCAAGAUGCUUAUUUUGGAUGAAGCCAGUAAAAAUGUUGAGCCAAAGGAUUAAAGGUCAAAUCCACGAGAUUUACCAGAAAUCAAAUACAAGGACUCAGGUUGUGUUGCUUUCUGCCUUAAUGCCAAUUGAUAUGCUGAAGACCUCAAAAAGUUCCUGAGAAAUCCAUUUCAAAUUCUAGUGAAGAAAGAAGAGCUGACCUCUGAAAAGGUGGUGACAGAAAGAAAGAGGCAUUACCAAGAGGGAAUUCAGAUAAGAAUUGGCAGUGGGAGUCAAUUUGGGAGGAAGGCUGUGGCCUUAAACAUUGAAGAAAAGAAGAUUCUUUGUGACACUGAGCCUUUCUACCAUACUACACUGGAGGAAAUGCCAAUGAAUGUGGAUGACCUAAUUUAAUUCCUGGGAUGAAAUGGUUUUGAGUGUAGUGCUUGCUGUUGGUGAAUAGGCAAUCACAAGGUGCAUCAUGCUUCUUUUGGGGGAAAUAUUUGAAGUUUUGUCUCAAUGCUCAUAACAGAUCAAAAAUAUAGAUUUUGAUAGCAAAGCAACUUCAGCCAUGAGCUCAUGUGAGGAAAGUCAUUGGCUUUAUCCUCUUUAGAAUUAGACUGUUGGGGUAGCUAUAAAAGAUGGGCUUGUACCCAAUCGAAAAAUGGGCAGAAGACCUAAAUAUACAUUUCUCCAAAGAAGACAUACAGAUGGCCAACAGGCAAAUGAAAAAAGUCUCAACAUGGCUAAU